rnacentral:misc_RNA from 1 species
UAACGUAUUUUAAAAUAAUAUAUUUCUUAAUAAUAGGUUUAAAUGCAAUACCAAACAUACCCGUACAGUGUGAGAAAUAGAGCAUUGUUCACGUGAAAGUGAUAAUGGUCACGAUUCAUCAUGUUCUCAAGAUAAAGAAGGAAAAAUAUACAUGUCCGCCUUCCUUUUUCCCCUUAUUAAAUAUCCAGGCUUGGCAGGACAAUUCCCAGUUCUAUUCCUCUUUCACACUCUGCAAUAAACAUUAAAACAGAAAUGCAUAAUCCGACAUUUUUUAUCUCAAAAAAUCAAUAUCCUGCUGCCGGCAUCACCAGCAUCACCUAGAUUAUUUUUCAUUUUUGCAAUUUUCAGGACGAGAGAACAAAAGAGACUGCGGCAGGGACAUUUUCUUUUAUUAGGAAGCCGACUCCUUUGCAAUCUUAUCGGCCUUCGCAAUCACCUCAUCAAUGCCUCCAACCAUGUAAAAUGACUGUUCUGGAAGGUCAUCGUAUUUUCCAUCCAAUACCCCCUGCCAAAAGCAAUUUCAUCGUCGUUAACGAAUCAAAAUCAUGACCACCUCAACACCUUAAAACAAGAUACCAAAUAAUGUGUUACAUCUACACACGUGCAAACCAUGCCCACGUUUCCAAACCCCAACACUAGGAAUAAAUAGUCACUAGUAAUAAAAUUAACAUUUAUUAAAAAUACUAAUUAAGAAGUUCAACCUCAAUGGCUAUCCAAUUUCAACUUUCACCUUGUUGAUUUUAACUGAAAUUUGAUAGCACCAACCAAAAACAGUUCCAGCAAAACGACAUCAAAUACACACCCUUCAAUUAUACAUAAACAUUGCAGGAAUACAUGUUUUAUGUACAUUUUUGGGAGAUUGUAUACAAGAUUAUAGUGCUCCUUGCACUUACAAACAUGUUGGUCCCUUGUGAGUAAAGGAGCAUGCUCCAGAUAUAUCUAAUAAUCUCCACUUUCAUAGUUCGGUUCAUAAUAUUCAAUGAUCAUUAAGACUACCCUUGUAUAAAUUCACACAACCUACACUAAAAGCAUGAUUAUCCCCACACAAACAAACAAAUAGAAGUCAUUUAAAAAAUCUAUGCAUAUACAGAAGUUCAUGCACAUGUUCAUCCCAUCAGUGAUUUCAAGAAUUCCUUGAUUUAAUAAAAGGGUAUAAUUGAAGCCCCAACAUAAGUUCUCGAAAACAAAGGUUCUAAAGAAAGAAAAUUUUUAUAAAAGACAAACCAAAAGCAUGAUAACAAAUCAAUGUGCAUGGGCAGAAAGGCUUGAGCUAGUUUGUGUUUGAAAGGAAAGAGGGACUGGGAAGGAUAGAGAGGUACCUGGAAGCUGGUUAUGCUCUCUUUCAACUCAACGUAUUUGCCAGGGGCACCCGUGAAGACUUCUGCCACAUGGAAAGGCUGGCUCAAGAACCUCUGGAUUUUACGAGCACGGGCAACUGUCAACUUGUCAUCUUCACUAAGCUCAUCCAUUCCCAAAAUGGCAAUGAUAUCUUGCAGAUUCUUGUAGUUCUGAAGAACCUUUUGCACUCCACGAGCAGUAUUGUAGUGUUCCUCACCCAAAAUAUGAGGAGAGAGCAUACGAGAUGUAGAAUCAAGGGGAUCCACAGCAGGAUAGAUACCUAGCUCAGAAAUCUGCCGUGACAACACAGUU